UCCGCAGUUGAGAUGACACUG
rnacentral:miRNA from 1 species